rnacentral:lncRNA from 1 species
UACAAACAAAAGGGAAAACAAGUGGUUUGGGUUCAGAGCCAAUGUCAUUAUUCUUUUCACUAUGUUUGUUCUAAUCUCAUUUCCAAUUCUUUUCUCUUUUACUAUGUAUUGCUCAGUUCUCUUUUUUCUUUGAUUUUGUCUUCUCUUUUUUUUUCAACUGAGUGUUUCUCAUUCGAUGAGUGCUUUUCUCGUAUCAUCGAAGAAAUUUUUUUCUUUUGUUUUCUUUUUUUUCGAUGGUCAUUUUUCUUAAUCUUUU